CCUGGCUCAGGACGAACGCUGGCGGCGUGCUUAACACAUGCAAGUCGAACGAAGAGACUUGGAAGCUUGCUUCUAAGAAUCUUAGUGGCGAACGGGUGAGUAACGCGUAAUCAACCUGCCCUUCAGAGGGGGACAACAGUUGGAAACGACUGCUAAUACCGCAUACGAUCCAAUCUCGGCAUCGAGGAUGGAUGAAAGGUGGCCUCUAUUUAUAAGCUAUCACUGAAGGAGGGGAUUGCGUCUGAUUAGCUAGUUGGAGGGGUAACGGCCCACCAAGGCGAUGAUCAGUAGCCGGUCUGAGAGGAUGAACGGCCACAUUGGGACUGAGACACGGCCCAGACUCCUACGG
rnacentral:rRNA from 1 species